CAGUCGCCGCGGGAAUACGAAGGGUGCAAGCGUUAAUCGGAAUUACUGGGUGUAAAGCGUGCGUAGGCGGUUUGUUAAGUCUGUUGUGAAAUCCCCGGGCUCAACCUGGGAAUGGCAAUGGAUACUGGCAAGCUAGAGUGUGUCAGAGGAUGGUGGAAUUCCCGGUGUAGCGGUGAAAUGCGUAGAGAUCGGGAGGAACAUCAGUGGCGAAGGCGGCCAUCUGGGACAACACUGACGCUGAGGCACGAAAGCGUGGGGAGCAAACAGGAUUAGAUACCCCAGUAGUCCCUGUCUCUUAUAC
rnacentral:rRNA from 1 species